GGUACCUCCUACUUCCUGGUUCACCCAUUAGAACGGGUAUAAAAGCUGCACAUAAUGAAGCUGCUGUCACCACGCUUGUCCCUUUCUGUGUUUGAGGCUGGCUGGAGAAUCCAAUGAGCUGACUGCUAUGGCUGGUUCCACACACACAGAAUCAAGAUGAACAUUGGAAAAAACAAACUUCCAAAUGGCUUGCCAAAGUCACUAGAUAUCUUUACUGCAAGAUGAAGACAACCUUUAGGUUAAAGGGCAGCCUCUCACUUCAAUACAUGGACCAAGAUUUUGGCAAUUACUUUUUAAUCUACACUCUACCACUGAAUUUCAGGGACAAGUAGCAGGCCAAACGGUUGGUUCAAUAUGCGUUGGGCAAGAAACCUGGUGGAGACCGUGGUGCCAUGAGCGCAAACAAAAGGUAUGACUGACUUGCGUUGUUAACAAGCACACUCUUAAAGAGCCACUGCUCAUAUAUUCAACUGCAAGCAUUUUUCAACAUGUUUUAACUGUUUGAAUUGCUUGGUGAUUCGUGGUGAUUGUGAUGUUUGUCCAAAGUGUAAGUGAAUCCUAUGUGUGUACCCUCUAAAAAUGCACUUUACUGUCAGAAAUGUGUAUUUAAUUAAAACUGCUGUACACUUCAGUGUAACCCCAACACUGUAGGUUAAGACCUUAUGUUUACUGGCUUAGUGUUGCAAUGUACUCCAAUUUGACAGUCACAUUUACUGUGUACCUGGAAUGUAAUUUUGGCCGUGAAUUAAUAAAAUGUCAAUGUAUUCUAGAGUCUUGUAGGACGCAAUUGCUGAUAAUGGGCGGUCGACCAACUGACAGAACCGUACAGGUCAAAGGAGGCUCAUAGAUCUUGGGGAGAAGAUGGGCGAGGCCUGGGCUCUUCAUUAAAGUAUUCUUUGUAUGUAUUUCUUGUCGUGCAGGCUGUGUAAUGGCUCUAAUAAAAUGUCUUUCUAACUGUAAAGAAUGCUUGAGUGUUGAGGCCUGUCCUGAAGAACUAUUUGGAUCCUUUAUCUGCUGUUUGCUGUUGGCCAAUGUGUUAGUAUUGCGAAAUAACGUUAGCCUGUGGGCAAGUAGAUGCCAUCCUGUCAGUGUUCCAGAGAUUUUUCAGAAUGGGUUGUGAUUCCAUGCAGGAUGGUCCAGAGAAGGCAGCAGGCUCCUGCCUUGAGGAUCCCAAGAAGUGGUCAAGCAGUUUCAGCCUCCUGUGACGGUGGAAAUAACCAGCAGUCUUUAGUGAUUUGAGUGAACGGACGGUCCACAGAAGACAACAGGGUCUCAUGUGAAAAUUGCCUGCUGACUGAGAGGACAAUUCGUAGAACAAAACAAGCUCCUGCUUCAGGGGCAAGCAGCUUUAGCCUCCUGUGGAAAUCGCCAAGUUGGCAAUUUCCACAACAGG
ensembl:lncRNA